CUACGGGUGGCUCCAGUUAGGAAUAAUCUACAAUGCGCGAAAGCGUGAUAGUUUGAGCCAGAGUGUUUUUCAAUUGAAAGACUUUUGUGAAAUGUAAAAAGUUUCACGAAUAAGGACUGGGUAAGACUAGUGCCAGCCGCCGCGGUAAUACUAGCGGUCCAAGUCGCAACCAUUUUUAUUGGGUCUAAAACAUCCGUAGCUUGCUUGACAAGUCUUCUGUGAAAUUUUACGUCUAAAACGUAGAGCGCGCAGAAGGUACUAUCAAGCUAGAGACCGGAAGACGUAAGAAGUACAUUCAGAGUAGCGGUUAAAUGUGUUAAUCCUGGAUGGACUAACAAGAGCGAAGGCAUCUUACGAGGACGGUUCUGGCAGUAAGGGAUGAAAGCUAGGGGCGCAAAUGGGAUUAGAUACCCUAGUAGUC
rnacentral:rRNA from 1 species